rnacentral:rRNA from 1 species
AUGAAGGCUCCACAUCUUCCCUUUUCAUGCAAAUUCAAUGAUAAUAAAACCUUAGCUUCUUAUGCUAAUGGUGUAUAUGAUGACUAUGAUGUGGAACAAAUAGAAGAAUUUGUUGCUUUUAUGGGUGCUUAUGAGAUUGAAUCUAUGUUUAAAGAGUUUGAUGAUUUUGAUGAUUCAGUUUAUAGACCUGAAAAUUUUGCUAUACUUAAAUAUUGUUAUAAAAAUUAUGAAUACAAUUACAAUAUUGAUGCAUUUAUUGAGAAAGUCUCUGCUGUCCAAGAAGAGACUAAUACUUUGUAG